rnacentral:rRNA from 1 species
UACGUAGGGUCCGAGCGUUGUCCGGAAUUAUUGGGCGUAAAGAGCUCGUAGGCGGUCUGUCGCGUCGGUUGUGAAAACCUGGGGCUCAACUCCAGGCCUGCAAUCGAUACGGGCAGACUAGAGUUCGGUAGGGGAGACUGGAAUUCCUGGUGUAGCGGUGAAAUGCGCAGAUAUCAGGAGGAACACCGGUGGCGAAGGCGGGUCUCUGGGCCGAAACUGACGCUGAGGAGCGAAAGCGUGGGGAGCGAACAGG